GGGUCGUCCAUGAAGCAAAUAGGGGACAGGUAAUGCUCAUACACCAAGGCAUCCUCACAAAAAUACGAGGAAAAGACAACAUUAGUUUUAUGCAAAUAGAAGUCAAUCACCCAAUAAGAAAAAAUGGUGGGCAUGUGGGAGAAUAUUCCAAACUCCAUGCACCUCAACAGUAGCACAAGAAGUCUGACAGACUCCCAGAGCAUCCUCCUAUAUAAGCAUUGAUAGAAAACCUUCAAGUCAAGGCUCAUUUGGAAAGGCAACGAGGGGAAGACAAUGCUUAAACAUCCAGAUCACUCAGCACAGGAGUAGGUAGACAAGCCCACAACAGUUAUGCACAAAAAAACGUGAAACUCUUCUGUUAUGUAGCACUAUGUGUGGUCAUUGAUUGCGUGUGUCGACUUGAAUCUUAAGACUUUAUUAGGUAGCUUAGAUAAUAAUGCAAAAUCUAUUGCAUUAACAAAAACUCACUCUCAUAUUUCACCCAAUAAUGAGAUACAGACUAAAAAUAGAUGAUCAAUGAU
rnacentral:misc_RNA from 1 species